rnacentral:rRNA from 1 species
AGAAGCUUGCUUCUAUGACGUUAGCGGCGGACGGGUGAGUAACACGUGGGCAACCUGCCUGUAAGACUGGGAUAACUCCGGGAAACCGGAGCUAAUACCGGAUAACAUUUUCUCUUGCAUAAGAGAAAAUUGAAAGAUGGUUUCGGCUAUCCCUUACAGAUGGGCCCGCGGUGCAUUAGCUAGUUGGUGAGGUAACGGCUCACCAAGGCAACGAUGCAUAGCCGACCUGAGAGGGUGAUCGGCCACACUGGGACUGAGACACGGCCCAGACUCCUACGGGAGGCAGCAGUAGGGAAUCUUCCGCAAUGGACGAAAGUCUGACGGAGCAACGCCGCGUGAGUGAUGAAGGCUUUCGGGUCGUAAAACUCUGUUGUUAGGGAAGAACAAGUACAAGAGUAACUGCUUGUACCUUGACGGUACCUAACCAGAAAGCCACGGCUAACUACGUGCCAGCAGCCGCGGUAAUACGUAGGUGGCAAGCGUUAUCCGGAAUUAUUGGGCGUAAAGCGCGCGCAGGCGGUUUCUUAAGUCUGAUGUGAAAGCCCACGGCUCAACCGUGGAGGGUCAUUGGAAACUGGGGAACUUGAGUGCAGAAGAGAAAAGCGGAAUUCCACGUGUAGCGGUGAAAUGCGUAGAGAUGUGGAGGAACACCAGUGGCGAAGGCGGCUUUUUGGUCUGUAACUGACGCUGAGGCGCGAAAGCGUGGGGAGCAAACAGGAUUAGAUACCCUGGUAGUCCACGCCGUACACGAUGAGUGCUAAGUGUUAGAGGGUUUCCGCCCUUUAGUGCUGCAGCUAACGCAUUAAGCACUCCGCCUGGGGGAGUACGGUCGCAAGACUGAAACUCAAAGGAAUGAACGGGGGCCCGCACAAGUGGUGGAGCAUUUGGUUUAAUACGAAGCAACGCGAAGAACCUUACCAGGUCUUGACAUCCUCUGACAACUCUAGAGAUAGAG